rnacentral:lncRNA from 1 species
UCUUGAAAUAGCGGGAAUUUCAUAUUCCUCUGUUUUUUGUUUGAAAAGCUCGAUUUUUUUUUAAAUAAUAGAAGCCAAAAGGCCUUGGAUUCUCUCAGUAAUUCAGCAAUGAAGUCAUGGGAUUUUGACAUAUUGGUCCUUUCUCAGUCCAAUCCCAACGCAGCCCUCUUUUUUAUAAAAUUAUAUUUUUAUGACCUACUUAUUUAUAAAUGAGACAAAGUAGUCCUUGUUGUCUAGUUAGUAACUAAUUUUGUUGAUUCUUUAUAUUUAAAUGGUAAUUAUACUGUUAACGUAUUCUAUCAUUAUGACAUGGAGUGUGGAUAUGUGGAUCAUUGGAGUUUGUAUUUUUUUAACAUAAAAAAGUUACAUUGUAUUAUAUAACACAAAGAUAUGAAGGGAGUUAUUCUUUAAUUGAACAACAAGGAUUACUCUGUCCCAUUUAUAAUAAACUACAGUCCUAAUUAGUGUUUCAUGUAAAAAGAGGACCAUUAUAGAAAAGAGACUAAUCCAUAAAAAUCUCACGAACGGCCAACAGUGAACUACCAUUGAUAGAAAAGAGAAAUCACAGAACCUUUUUCCUGUUCUCCUUUGUGCUCUCUAUUUCAUAUCCAACUACAAGUGAUUUUUACAUAUUACAUAUAUGAAAAAAUGAUUAGAAAUUUGUUUUUAUAUAAUUUUCUGAGUUUCUUUUGAACUCUUGUUGAAUUUGACCAUUUUUCCUGAAUUAUGAUAUAUUUGACCUUGUCAAAUUGUUCCUGAAUGUUGAACUUGUGACUAUGCUUGGACUCGCUUCCUUAUGUUUCUAACCCACUUUCAUGUAAGCAUCAUCGAUCACUUCCAUAUUUCAUAAAAAACUUCUUUUGUUCUUUAAAAUUUUUCCUUUUAGGAUCUAUGUAUCAUUGUCUUCUAAGACUCAAAAAGCACCAUUCUAUUUUAGUAUUGUGUACAACAACAAAUUAUACUUUAUUAUUAAAUACUUUAUUGCUUUAAUAAUAUUUGGUACAACUUUAUAGGCAGAUGCACUGUAGGUAACCAUGCUUCUUCAUUCUUUAUUUUCUUGUUCCUUUUCUCUUUUUUUCCUCUUUUUUGUUGUCUGAAGUUUCCUGCUUCUUCUAGGAUCGCUGAAGAUCAAGGAUUUAAAUUCUGGGCGUAUUGGCUAGUGUGUACUCAAUAGCCAGAAAUCAGUA